rnacentral:rRNA from 1 species
UACGUAAGGACCAAGCGUUGUUCGGAUUUACUGGGCGUAAAGGGCGCGUAGGCGGCGUGUUAAGUCACUUGUGAAAUCUCUAAGCUUAACUUAGAACGGUCAAGUGAUACUGAUGUGCUAGAGUGCAGAAGGGGCAACCGGAAUUCUUGGUGUAGCGGUGAAAUGCGUAGAUAUCAAGAGGAACACCUGAGGUGAAGACGGGUUGCUGGGCUGACACUGACGCUGAGGCGCGAAAGCUAGGGUAGCAAACGGG